rnacentral:rRNA from 1 species
UAGGGUGAACCUGCGGAAGGAUCAUUACCGAGUGCGGGUCCCUCGUGGCCCAACCUCCCAUCCGUGUUGACCGACACCUGUUGCUUCGGCGGGCCCGCCGAAGACCCCUCGAACGCUGCCUUGAAGGUUGCCGUCUGAGUAUCAAAUCAAAUCGUUAAAACUUUCAACAACGGAUCUCUUGGUUCCGGCAUCGAUGAAGAACGCAGCGAAAUGCGAUAAGUAAUGUGAAUUGCAGAAUUCCGUGAAUCAUCGAAUCUUUGAACGCACAUUGCGCCCCCUGGCAUUCCGGGGGGCAUGCCUGUCCGAGCGUCAUUGCUAACCCUCCAGCCCGGCUGGUGUGUUGGGCCGUCGUCCCCUCCGGGGGACGGGCCCGAAAGGCAGCGGCGGCGCCGCGUCCGGUCCUCGAGCGUAUGGGGCUUUGUCACGCGCUCUAGUAGGCCCGGCCGGCUUGCUGGCCAACGACCUCACGGUCACCUAACUUCUCUCUUAGGUUGACCUCGGAUCAGGUAGGGAUACCCGCUGAACUUAAGCAUAUCAAUAAGCGG